rnacentral:rRNA from 1 species
GAUGAACGCUCGCUACAGGCUUAACACAUGCAAGUCGAGGGGAAACGGCAUCGAAAGCUUGCUUUUGAUGGGCGUCGACCGGCGCACGGGUGAGUAACGCGUAUCCAACCUGCCCAUCACUUGGGAAUAACCUUGCGAAAGUAAGACUAAUGCCCAAUGACAUCCCACGAAGGCAUCCGAAUGGGAUUAAAGAUUUAUCGGUGAUGGAUGGGGAUGCGUCUGAUUAGCUUGUUGGCGGGGUGACGGCCCACCAAGGCAACGAUCAGUAGGGGUUCUGAGAGGAAGGUCCCCCACAUUGGAACUGAGACACGGUCCAAACUCCUACGGGAGGCAGCAGUGAGGAAUAGUGGUCAAUGGGCGAGAGCCUGAACCAGCCAAGUAGCGUGCAGGAUGACGGCCCUAUGGGUUGUAAACUGCUUUUAUAAGGGAAUAAAGUGGGUCACGUGUGACUUUUUGCAUGUACCUUAUGAAUAAGGACCGGCUAAUUCCGUG